GUGCCAGCCCUGCUCAUGGCAGUGAGGUGGGCUCCCAGCUGCUGAGGCCACCCAGCACUAGUGAGUGACUUGGCAUUUUUAUUUUUGUUCAGAUCACAAGAAUGGGCAUUACAUCAUCCCACAGAUGGCUGACAGCCUUGACUUAUCCGAAUUGGCCAAAGCUGCUAAAAAGAAGCUGCAGGCGCUCAGCAACCGGCUUUUUGAGGAACUCGCCAUGGACGUGUAUGACGAGGUGGAUCGAAGAGAAAAUGAUGCAGUGUGGCUGGCUACCCAAAACCACAGCACUCUGGUGACAGAGCGCAGUGCCGUGCCCUUCCUGCCUGUUAACCCGGAAUACUCAGCCACGCGGAAUCAGGGGCGACAAAAGCUGGCCCGCUUUAAUGCCCGAGAGUUUGCCACCUUGAUCAUCGACAUUCUCAGUGAGGCCAAGCGGAGACAGCAGGGCAAGAGCCUGAGCAGCCCCACAGACAACCUCGAGCUGUCUCUGCGGAGCCAGAGUGACCUCGACGACCAGCACGACUACGACAGCGUGGCCUCUGACGAGGACACAGACCAGGAGCCCCUGCGCAGCACCGG
rnacentral:sRNA from 1 species